AUUGAACGCUGGCGGCAGGCCUAACACAUGCAAGUCGAGCGGAGCGGCGGACGGGUGAGUAAUGCCUAGGAAUCUGCCUGGGAGUGGGGGAUAAGGUCCGGAAACGGGAGCUAAUACCGCAUACUAUCAGAUGAGCCUAGGUCGGAUUAGCUAGUUGGUGGGGUAAAGGCCUACCAAGGCGACGAUCCGUAGCUGGUCUGAGAGGAUGAUCAGUCACACUGGAACUGAGACACGGUCCAGACUCCUACGGGAGGCAGCAGUGGGGAAUAUUGCACAAUGGGCGAAAGCCUGAUCCAGCCAUGCCGCGUGUGUGAAGAAGGUCUUCGGAUUGUAAAGCACUUUAAGUUGGGAGGCGUUACCAGCAGAAUAAGCACCGGCUAACUUCGUGCCAGCAGCCGCGGUAAUUC
rnacentral:rRNA from 1 species